UACGUAGGGUGCGAGCGUUAAUCGGAAUUACUGGGCGUAAAGUGUGCGCAGGCGGCCGAGCAAGUCGAGUGUGAAAGCCCCGAGCUUAACUUGGGAACUGCGCUCGAAACUACUUGGCUAGAGUGUGGCAGAGGGGAGGUGGAAUUCCACGUGUAGCGGUGAAAUGCGUAGAGGAUGAUGGAGGAACACCGAUGGCGAAGGGCAGCCUCCUGGGCCAACACUGACGCUCAUGACACGAAAGCGUGG
rnacentral:rRNA from 1 species